rnacentral:rRNA from 1 species
AUUGAACGCUGGCGGCAUGCCUUACACAUGCAAGUCGAACGGCAGCACGGGAGCAAUCCUGGUGGCGAGUGGCGAACGGGUGAGUAAUAUAUCGGAACGUGCCCGGUCGUGGGGAUAACGUAGCGAAAGCUACGCUAAUACCGCAUACGAUCUACGGAUGAAAGCGGGGGAUCGCAAGACCUCGCGCGAUUGGAGCGGCCGAUAUCAGAUUAGGUAGUUGGUGAGGUAAAGGCUCACCAAGCCGACGAUCUGUAGCUGGUCUGAGAGGACGACCAGCCACACUG